GAACUGAAGAGUUUGAUCAUGGCUCAGAUUGAACGCUGGCGGCAGGCCUAACACAUGCAAGUCGAGCGGAUGAAGGGAGCUUGCUCCUGGAUUCAGCGGCGGACGGGUGAGUAAUGCCUAGGAAUCUG
rnacentral:rRNA from 1 species